GAUCAUGGCUCAGAUUGAACGCUAGCGGGAGGCCUAAUACAUGCAAGUCGAGCGGUAGAGUGACUUCGGUUGCUUGAGAGCGGCGAACGGGUGAGUAACGCGUACACAAUCUACCUUUAAGAGGGGAAUAGCCCUGGGAAACUGGGAUUAAUGCCCCAUGGCAUCACGAGACGGCAUCGUUUUGUGAUUAAAGCUGAGGUGCUUAGAGAUGAGUGUGCGUCUGAUUAGCUAGUUGGUGCGGUAACGGCGCACCAAGGCGACGAUCAGUAGGGGGCGUGAGAGCGUGGACCCCCACACGGGUACUGAGACACGGACCCGACUCCUACGGGAGGCAGCAGUAAGGAAUAUUGGUCAAUGGAGGAAACUCUGAACCAGCCAUCCCGCGUGCAGGAAGAAUGCCCUAUGGGUUGUAAACUGCUUUUAUCUGGGAAGAAAAGUCGGGAUUUAUCCUGAUCUGACGGUACCAGAGGAAUAAGCACCGGCUAACUCCGUG
rnacentral:rRNA from 1 species